rnacentral:lncRNA from 1 species
AUCAUAGCCAAGGUCCUGGGAAGGGAGCCAGCAUUCAGGGAUGGGUCACAAGAAGGUCAUGGCUGCUGGUGGUCCUUAACGCAUUUACCUUCCCCACUGCAGCCCCGGAAAGCCAGCGCCACAUGCAGUUCGGCCACAGCAGCAGCCUCCAGUGGCCUGGAGGAGUGGACUAGCCGGUCCCCGCGGCAGCGGAGUUCAGCCUCGUCACCUGAGCACCCUGAGCUGCAUGCUGAAUUGGGCAUGAAGCCCCCUUCCCCAGGCACUGUUUUAGCUCUUGCCAAACCUCCUUCGCCCUGUGCGCCAGGUACAAGCAGUCAGUUCUCGGCAGGGGCCGACCGGGCAACUUCCCCCCUUGUGUCCCUCUACCCUGCUUUGGAGUGCCGGGCCCUCAUUCAGCAGAUGUCCCCCUCUGCCUUUGGUCUGAAUGACUGGGAUGAUGAUGAGAUCCUAGCGUCGGUGCUGGCAGUGUCCCAACAGGAAUACCUAGACAGUAUGAAGAAAAACAAAGUGCACAGAGACCCGCCCCCAGACAAGAGUUGAUGGAGACCCAGGGAUUGGACACCAUCUCCCAACCCCAGGGACUCGGGCAAGGGUGCCGAAGAUAGACAAGAGGCACACAGAGACAGACCAACUGGCAGCCAGGCAGCCCCAGCCCCAGAGGAGAGAGACAUUCAGACAGAGGAAAGUCUCCCUGCCCCUCAUUCCUUCCAAGAUGAGAAAAACUUGCCACCCCCCCCCCCGACACUGAUGCCAGGGAGGUGGGAGGAAGAAGUGGGAAAUUUCCCUUCCCAGUACCCCCAAGAACAUCUGAGCCUUCAAUGUUGAAUUUUUUCUUUAUUAAAAUUACUUUUAUCUUAUAAAAUCAACUAAUCAAAAAUGAUAUAGACGACAGCACUGGCUCUGUGAAGGUGGCAUCCUUCUGGGCAGGCAGGCCAUGGGGCAUGGAGGAGGGCGCAAAGAUAUGGGUUGCUGUCUUCUGGCCUCCAGCUGCAUGGAGGCCGGCCCAGGGUCUAGGGUGUGCACUGGGCAAGGGCAGGGCGGCAGGUGUCAGGCCGGCUUGGACAAUGAAACCCUGACCUUGCUGCAUUCCUUUUGCUUCCACCACCACUAGCCUCUUUGGAAUCUUGGGGUGGGGGUCAUCUUUGGGGAUUAUGGCUGCCACCCGGGAUUUGAGUGUAGGGAGUGUGGGAGCAGCCUUGGCAGAUGGGGCACCCGUGCCCUGCAGGUGUUGACAAGAUCCACCAUCUGUAAUGUC